CUGAAUCGAACCGACGACCAGCAAAACAAAUCGUUUUUCGUCUGAAAAUCAAUUUUACACAGAACGACCGAGCACAGAGAGAAGGGAAAGUUUUUCAAACAAUGAAGUCGUUAAUCAUUUGUGUAGUUGGAUUCGGGUGAAGUUAGCUACUCAUAUGAAUUAGUAGCCUGAGAAAAUGAUUUAAGUUGAGGAUUGUUGGAAGAGUUCAUGAAAUAUUUUAAUGUGUUUCCCUGUCUGAAGCUAAGGAGAGACACAGGAAUUCAUCGACCAAGUGGCACAGUAGAAGUGUGCGCUAAAAAGAGUGCAACAAAUCAGAUUCUGCGAAUUUCUACAAGAAAUCCGUAGGAGGAAAUUCCGUUAGAAAGGCAAACACAUCAAACUCUUCUAAGCACGUGCAAACAAAUGACGAAGAAAAAGAAAAGGAUCCUUCGUUCGCGACAACUUUCGCUUUCUCAGCUGGCGAUUAAGCUAAUCGGUGAUCGAGGGAACAAGGAAGAGUACGAGCGAGGGCGUAGCAGGCAAAGCGUAUCAAGGAGUUUGAGGCUAAGUGACAGCGAUGACCAUUAAUCUCAGCUCGAUCGCCAGAAUCGCGACACCGAUCUCGCCGCUUUAACGAGCAGACGUAACCCGCCAACCCUUUCUACUUCUCUUUCCUUCGUUUUUCGUCGCGCGGAUUUCUCUCGGCUCGAGCCAAGAAAAGAAGAAACUUUCGGCUUGCAUCGUCUUUACGAAUCUGUUACAGACGUUCGCUGAUAAUCAAUGGUCAACGUGAGGCUAUCAGUGACACUGUUACGCCGUGAAAGAGAGAGAGAAAGUACAUAGGGGAUGUAGAGUCAGUUGGAAGAGGAAGAGAGAAGAGACUGGUCUGGAGGGUGGUCGGUAUCUGUUGGAGGACCGGUGACCAACCACCCCGUAGCCCGUAUAACUCCGAUAACGGCCGACCGACCACCAUAAACCCUCGGUCUUUCACUCCUGAAACUACCACCCUCGCCUCGUCUUUGAAUUCCUCGCGGAAAUGGUAUUCUUACCGUCCGAAUCGCUACUUUGCUUGCGAUUCCUAUA